rnacentral:lncRNA from 1 species
AUCUUGGCGGGUGUGGUUUGGCUGAAUAAUAUUUCAUUAUCCUGUAUACAUCUUCCAUAGCAGAUGUGCUUUUAUGCGUAUUCGGAUGGUCAUUUGGGGACGCCCCACCUUCCACGGUUCUGAAUGAUGCUGCUAGGUACCAAUGAUCAAGUAAGUCCCUGCUUCCAUUCCUUCAGGUGCUUAUUUAAAAGUUAAGACAUGCUGGACCACAAGGUGCUGUGUGUUUAAGGUUCCUCAAAGCCAUGGUCGGCCCGUUUUGAUGCAUGAAUAGGUUAGAAUUGACAUUCGGGCUUGGCAGUGGUGGUGACCUCACAGCAGAGAGGCGUUCUCUUCUUGGGACCUCCUGGUGUCACUAAAGGAAAAGAAACCAUGGUAAAUAUAACUAGAAUAGUUAAAAGUUCAAUGUGUUACCUACAGUACAGUGCAAGAUAUU